rnacentral:rRNA from 1 species
AGUGAACGCUGGCGGUAGGCCUAACACAUGCAAGUCGAACGGCAGCACAGGAGAGCUUGCUCUCUGGGUGGCGAGUGGCGGACGGGUGAGGAAUACAUCGGAAUCUACUCUGUCGUGAGGGAUAACGUAGGGAAACUUACGCUAAAACCGCAUACGACCUACGGGUGAAAGCAGGGGAUCUUCGGACCUUGCGCGACUGAAUGAGCCGAUGUCGGAUUAGCUAGUUGGCGGGGUAAAGGCCCACCAAGGCGACGAUCCGUAGCUGGUCUGAGAGGAUGAUCAGCCACACUGGAACUGAGACACGGUCCAGACUCCUACGGGAGGCAGCAGUGGGGAAUAUUGGACAAUGGGCGCAAGCCUGAUCCAGCCAUACCGCGUGGGUGAAGAAGGCCUUCGGGUUGUAAAGCCCUUUUGUUGGGAAAGAAAUCCAGCUGGCUAAUACCCGGUUGGGAUGACGGUACCCAAAGAAUAAGCACCGGCUAACUUCGUGCCAGCCGCCGCAGUAA